rnacentral:tRNA from 1 species
GCAUUGGUGGUUCAGUGGAGAAUUCUUGCCUUCCAUACAUAAGACCCAGAUUCGACUCCCAGCCAAUGUG